UACAGGGGGGGCAAGCGUUGUUCGGAAUUACUGGGCGUAAAGGGUUCGUAGGCGGCCAACUAAGUCACACGUGAAAUCCCCAGGCUUAACCUGGGAACUGCGUCUGAUACUGGAUGGCUUGAAUCCGGGAGAGGGAUGCAGAAUUCCAGGUGUAGCGGUGAAAUGCGUAGAUAUCUGGAGGAAUACCGGUGGCGAAGGCGGCAUCCUGGACCGGGAUUGACACUGAGGAGCGAAAGCUAGGGGAGCAAACGGG
rnacentral:rRNA from 1 species